UACCCCUUGACAAUGGGCCAAGAAACACCUCAUUGGUGGUGGUAUUAUAUCAGUCAGGGGCAGAGCAGAUGACAAUCCUUUGUUCAUCCUAGUUUGAUGCCUGGCUUGGUGGCCAAAACUGUUUCAUGCCUAGGACACAAUC